UCCCUGGUGGUCUAGUGGUGAAGACGCCUUGCUCCCUAGUGCAGGAGGUCUAGGUUCGAUCCCUGAUCAGGGAA
rnacentral:tRNA from 1 species